ACGACGCUGGCGGCGUGCCUAAUACAUGCAAGUCGAACGGUCUUUUCUAUGGAAGCUUGCUUCCACUGAGAAGAUAGUGGCGGACGGGUGAGUAACACGUGGGUAACCUGCCCAUAAGAGGGGGAUAACAUCCGGAAACGGGUGCUAAUACCGCAUAGUUUUCUUGAUCGCAUGAUCGAGAAAGGAAAGACGGCCUUUGUGCUGUCGCUUAUGGAUGGACCCGCGGCGUAUUAGUUAGUUGGUGAGGUAAUGGCUCACCAAGACGAUGAUACGUAGCCGACCUGAGAGGGUGAUCGGCCACAUUGGGACUGAGACACGGCCCAAACUCCUACGGGAGGCAGCAGUAGGGAAUCUUCCGCAAUGGACGAAAGUCUGACGGAGCAACGCCGCGUGAGUGAAGAAGGUUUUCGGAUCGUAAAACUCUGUUGUCAGAGAAGAACAAGUUGGAGAGUAACUGCUCCAGCCUUGACGGUAUCUGACCAGAAAGCCACGGCUAACUACGUG
rnacentral:rRNA from 1 species